rfam:Rhizobium sp. Root482 contig_18, whole genome shotgun sequence.
CAGGCAUGCUGGAGCCCCGCAGCGGCGCCUGGGUAUAUCGGCUGGCAUCGAACCGUAUGCGCCACUGCCCGACACCGUAACUUCACCGGGGCUUGU